rnacentral:rRNA from 1 species
UGGGGAAUAUUGCACAAUGGGCGCAAGCCUGAUGCAGCGACGCCGCGUGAGGGAUGACGGCCUUCGGGUUGUAAACCUCUUUCAGUAGGGAAGAAGCGAAAGUGACGGUACCUGCAGAAGAAGCACCGGCUAACUACGUG